rnacentral:rRNA from 1 species
ACUCCUACGGGAGGCAGCAGUGGGGAAUAUUGCACAAUGGGCGAAAGCCUGAUGCAGCAACGCCGCGUGAGUGAUGAAGGCCUUCGGGUCGUAAAGCUCUUUGAUCAGGGAUGAUAAUGACAGUACCUGAAAAACAAGCCACGGCUAACUACGUGCCAGCAGCCGCGGUAAUACGUAGGUGGCGAGCGUUGUCCGGAAUUAUUGGGCGUAAAGGAUGCGUAGGUGGAUAUUUAAGUGAGAUGUGAAAUCCCCGGGCUCAACCCGGGAACUGCAUUUCAAACUGGAUGUCUAGAGUGC